UUGGAGGGCAAGUCUGGUGCCAGCAGCCGCGGUAAUUCCAGCUCCAAUAGCGUAUAUUAAAGUUGUUGUGGUUAAAAAGCUCGUAGUUGAACCUUGGGCCUGGCUGGCCGGUCCGCCUCACCGCGAGUACUGGCUCGGCCGGGCCUUUCCCCCUGUGGAACCCCAUGCCCUUCACUGGGCGUGGCGGGAAAACAGGACUUUUACUUUGAAAAAAUUAGAGUGCUCCAGGCAGGCCUAUGCUCGAAUACAUUAGCAUGGAAUAAUAGAAUAGGACGUGUGG
rnacentral:rRNA from 1 species